rnacentral:rRNA from 1 species
GAUGAACGCUAGCGGCAGGCCUAAUACAUGCAAGUCAAGGGGCCAGUAAUGGCACCGGCGGACGGGUGCGUAACGCGUACACAACGGUACCUUUGGGUGGGGGAUAGCAUCGGGAAACUGGUGGUAAUACCCCAUGGUAUUGGAAACUGGCAUCAGUUUUCAAUUAAAGACUACGCCCAAAGAUCGGUGUGCGUCUGAUUAGCUAGUUGGUAGGGUAACGGCCUACCAAGGCGACGAUCAGUAGGGGAUGUGAGAGGAUGAUCAGCCACACUGGGACUGAGACACGGCCCAGACUCCUACGGGAGGCAGCAGUGGGGAAUAUUGGACAAUGGGCGAAAGCCUGAUCCAGCAAUGCCGCGUGAGUGAUGAAGGCCUUAGGGUUGUAAAGCUCUUUUACCAGGGAUGAUAAUGACAGUACCUGGAGAAUAAGCUCCGGCUAACUCCGUG